AGGAGAGAGAGGGAGGCGGAGACAAAACGGUGAGUGUUAUAGGAGAAGGGGGAACAAAAAGAAGGUUGAAAAUGGCUUUUCACCGACCUUCCAAACUAUAAUCCCAAAACCCAAAAUUGCCCUGCCCUGCCCUGCCCUGCCAAUCAAAUUCCCUUUCUAGCCCAAACGAGCCAUCUCUCUCUCUCUCUCUCUCUAUCUCUCUUCCUUUCUUUAAUUCCCUCUCUUUAUUACUACUCUCCUUCCCUCUCUCUAAAAACCCCCAAAACCAGACAAACCCAGAAGUAGAGCAGCUCUAUGUGUUUGGUGGGCUUGGCUGGGCUGCACUGUUCUUCAAUGGCCGCUGUUUUAUUCAGUGACCAAGCUGCCCUUGAUUACCACGGGCUCUCCUCUUACUCUGCCUUUGUUAAUCAAAGGUCAUUUUGGGGCAUUCGUAUAUAGAGAGAGAAGAGUCCCGGUUACAAUGUAGGGUGCUUAAAAGGCAGACAGGAUGGAGCCAGGCAAAAAUAUAUACGUAGUUUUUUCUCUCUCAAAAAAACUCACACCCCUCUUUUGUUGUUGUUGCUGUUGUUUUUUUCUUUUUUGUUGUUUUUUUUCUUUUUUUCUUUUUGUUUAAAGGAAGACGGGAGGGAAGAAGAAAGAAGAAGCAUAUGAUUCUUCUUCAACGACGGGUAUUUGUUAACACACAUCAAAAUGCAGAGGAGACAGAAAAAGGAGCAUUUUGAUGCCUUUUCUUUAACAUUGGCGAUGAAGGGGGAUUGUUAUUAUGUGGGUGACUUCUUUUCAUGCCUUCCUGUCCUUUCCUCUUAAAGCAAAUAAGGAAUUUGUGGAUUCUGAGAUGGGAUCCUGGAAAAAACUUGACAGCAGAACAGUUUUUUAUUGCAUCUAUGGCUUUUGAAAUUGAGUUCUUGAGCCUUCAAGUUGAUUUCUAUAUGCUUUGAUAUUCCUAUGGGGGCUCACUCAUUAGUUUAAGGGGAAAGAAUUAGUGGACCUAUUCAUUCUUACAUCACUUGCCCCCUUGAGUUGUUAUUUGAUUAAUUUAUGUUGUUUUAAUUGAUGUAUAGUUAGAAUACAAGGUUUGGACGAAUAGUAGUUCGAUCCUUGAGGAACAAGAUUUGAAGCCUUUCUGAAUGCAAUCAUAGAGGAUGUCCAUCCAUUAAGCCUUUAAUAGCAGAUCUCUAAGUAUACAGUCCUUCAAGGAAUCUGUAUUAAGGUUACAAGUCUCACCUGUUUCUGGUCUUCAUACGAGUUAAUGCGAAGAAAUAUAUUAUGACUCGACUGUAUUACUUACUUCCCGUUCAUGUUGAUGGAAGGCUAAGAAAACAAUGCUUGCACAUAGAGGUCAUUUCUGCAAGUGAAUCCUGAUACUCUGCUUAUGCCAUUUUCUCUUCGUCUCCUGUACCUGAAACUGCAACCCUAAAAUAAUCCUAUCUGCCGUUUCCUAUUUAGCUGUUGAUAUAACGUAUUGGAUUUCUUCUUGCAAACCAUGUUACAUUUUGCUUCAACCUUCUCUUGCUGCUUCCUGUGCUCUUGUAACACUAACUUUGGUGGAAAUAAUACUUUUCGGUUGGUAUUUA